AAGAAAAAGCAUACUGAAGAAAAAGCCUGGUGGAGAGGGGUGUCAUCAAGGAAUACUCCAAAACUAAAAGCCUGACUGACCACACACAGACGAAAAAUUAUCAACAUUCUUGUUUCGGCGAUGACAGAGACUGACUGCUGACUGGGGACCAAUGCUGCUUGUGAAGAUUCUGAUUGACGCCUAAACAAAACAUAGUCUUGUCAGGACAUCACCACCUCGCAGAGUGAGAGAAAUGUUUGCAGAAGGCAUCGUCUCCUUGUUCCCAUACCUGAAGGAUCCCUACACCGCAAAUGGAUAUGAACAUUAUUACGACCCUAAUAGUGGAGAAGGGUACCUCUCGUAUAGAAUUAAAACCGUUCAGAGGAAUUUGGCUUCAUCUGAGAAACGGCCCACUCAACUAUACUCUGAAGGGCCAACUGCUGAGAGGGAGUCCAGUCCAUCCACUUUGGUUAACCUGAGUGAAGACCAGUGCAGAGAGGCCAUUUCUCUUAUGAAGCAUUCUUCUAAUGAAGAAACAGUCAAACAGAAGAUGAAAUUGACCUUUGAGUGCAGGAAGAAGAUGGCCCACGACCCAAGUAAAUACUCCACCAUCCUAAAGGAAUUUCCACACUUUCUGGAUGUGAAGGGCUUGGUAAGACUUUUUUUAAAACAGUUUUAUGUUGUAUAAAUUGCGUUUAAUCUCUAGAUGCCAAUUCAGGUUGGCCAGUAAUGUGUAGGCUGGUGAUUUUACUCAAACUCUGUUUUGGAGGUUAAAGUGGAAUGUUUUGUGAGAAAU